AUUGAACGCUGGCGGCAUGCCUUACACAUGCAAGUCGAACGGCAGCGGGGGAGAAGCUUGCUUUUCCUGCCGGCGAGUGGCGAACGGGUGAGUAAUACAUCGGAACGUGCCCUGUAGUGGGGGAUAACUAGUCGAAAGAUUAGCUAAUACCGCAUACGACCUGAGGGUGAAAGUGGGGGGCUGCAAGGCCUCAUGCUAUAGGAGCGGCCGAUGUCUGAUUAGCUAGUUGGUGGGGUAAAGGCCUACCAAGGCGACGAUCAGUAGCUGGUCUGAGAGGACGAUCAGCCACACUGGGACUGAGACACGGCCCAGACUCCUACGGGAGGCAGCGGUGGGGAAUUUUGGACAAUGGGCGAAAGCCUGAUCCAGCAAUGCCGCGUGUGUGAAGAAGGCCUUCGGGUUGUAAAGCACUUUUGUCCGGAAAGAAAUGGCUCUGGUUAAUACCUGGGGUCGAUGACGGUACCGGAAGAAUAAGGACCGGCUAACUACGUGCCAGCAGCCGCCGCGG
rnacentral:rRNA from 1 species